rnacentral:lncRNA from 1 species
UAGGAUUUAGAUUAGAGUUUAGAUUAGGAUUUAUGAUUUGGUUUAGAGAUUGGUUUAAGAUUUAGGAUUUGGUUUAGGGAUUGGUUUAAGAUUUAGGAUUUGAUUAAGGUUUGAUUAGGAUUUUAUUAGGAUUUUAUUUAAGAUUUAGGAUUUAAGAUUUAAUUAGUUUUGGUCUAAAGUUUGAAUGAAGUUCAAUAGAAUUUUGACUAAAAUUAAAUAAAGAUUGAAUUGAGAUGUAUUUGAGUGAUAUUUGU